GUUGAGCGAAGCUUUUUGGUAGUUUACUACUAAAAAUGACUGAGCGGCGAACGGGUGAGUAACGCGUGAGCAAUCUACCUUAGUUACUGGGAUAGCCCGAGGAAACUCGGGUUAAUACCGGAUAUUCUUAUUUUUUCACAUGAAGUUUUAAGGAAAGGUCGGCCGAACUAAGAUGAGCUCGCGUUCUAUCAGCUAGUUGGUGGGGUAAAAGCCUACCAAGGCUACGACGGAUAGCUGGUCUGAGAGGACGAUCAGCCACACUGGGACUGAGACACGGCCCAGACUCCUACGGGAGGCUGCAGCAGGGAAUAUUGUGCAAUGAGCGAAAGCUUGACACAGCGACACCGCGUGUGGGAUGACGGUUCUAGGAUUGUAAACCACUUUCAGGAGGGAAGAAAAUGACGGUACCUCCACAAGAAGACCCGGCCAACUAUGUGCCAGCAGCCGCGGUAAUACAUAGGGGUCAAGCGUUGUCUGGAUUUAUUGGGCGUAAAGAGCUCGUAGGCGGUUCAACAAGUCGGUCGUAAAAGUUUAGGGCUCAACCCUAAAAUGUCGAUCGAUACUGUUGUGACUAGGAUACGGUAGAGGUG
rnacentral:rRNA from 1 species